rnacentral:rRNA from 1 species
GAUGAACGCUGGCGGCGUGCCUAACACAUGCAAGUCGAGCGAUUCUCUUCGGAGAAGAGCGGCGGACGGGUGAGUAACGCGUGGGUAACCUGCCCUAUACACAUGGAUAACAUACCGAAAGGUAUGCUAAUACAAGAUAACAUAAGAAAUUCGCAUGGAUUUCUUAUCAAAGCUCCGGCGGUAUAGGAUGGACCCGCGUCUGAUUAGCUAGUUGGUAAGGUAACGGCUUACCAAGGCGACGAUCAGUAGCCGACCUGAGAGGGUGAUCGGCCACAGUGGAACUGAGACACGGUCCAAACUCCUACGGGAGGCAGCAGUGGGGAAUAUUGCACAAUGGGCGAAAGCCUGAUGCAGCAACGCCGCGUGAGUGAUGAAGGCCUUCGGGUCGUAAAACUCUGUCCUCAAGGAAGAUAAUGACGGUACUUGAGGAGGAAGCCCCGGCUAACUACGUGCCAGCCGCCGCCGUAA